rnacentral:rRNA from 1 species
AUACGUAGGGGGCAAGCGUUAUCCGGAUUUACUGGGUGUAAAGGGAGCGUAGACGGAAGGCCAAGUCUGAUGUGAAAGCCCGCGGCUCAACUGCGGGAUUGCAUUGGAAACUGUUGAGCUUGAGUACUGGAGGGGCAGGCGGAAUUCCUGGUGUAGCGGUGAAAUGCGUAGAUAUCAGGAGGAACACCGGUGGCGAAGGCGGCCAGCUGGACAGUACCUGACGUGGAGGCUCGAAAGCGUGGGGAGCAAACAGGAUUAGAUCCCCUGGUAGUCCACGCCGUAAACGAUGAAUACUAGGUGUUGGGAGGCAAGGCCUCUCAGUGCCGCAGCCAACGCAAUAAGUAUUCCACCUGGGGAGUACGUUCGCAAGAAUGAAACUCAAAUGAAUUGACGGGG